rnacentral:rRNA from 1 species
AUUGAACGCUGGCGGCAGGCUUAACACAUGCAAGUCGAGCGGAGAUGAGGUGCUUGCACCUUAUCUUAGCGGCGGACGGGUGAGUAAUGCUUAGGAAUCUGCCUAUUAGUGGGGGACAACAUUCCGAAAGGAAUGCUAAUACCGCAUACGCCCUACGGGGGAAAGCAGGGGAGCGUCGGACCUUGCGCUAAUAGAUGAGCCUAAGUCGGAUUAGCUAGUUGGUGGGGUAAAGGCCCACCAAGGCGACGAUCUGCAGCGGGUCUGAGAGGAUGACCCGCCACCCUGGGACUGAGACACGGCCCAGACUCCUACGGGAGGCAGCAGUGGGGAAUAUUGGACAAUGGGCGGAAGCCUGAUCCAGCCAUGCCGCGUGUGUGAAGAAGGCCUUUUGGUUGUAAAGCACUUUAAGCGAGGAGGAGGCUACCUGGAUUAAUACUCUAGGAUAGUGGACGUUACUCGCAGAAUAAGCACCGGCUAACUCUGUGCCAGCCGCCGCCGUAAAAC